rnacentral:tRNA from 2 species
UAUAUUUUAGUAUUAUUUAUGUACAGGGGCUUUUGAUGCCUUUAGAAACAGACAUUUUCUGUUAAAUAUAA